rnacentral:rRNA from 1 species
GAUGAACGCUGGCGGCGUGCCUAAUACAUGCAAGUCGAGCGAACGGACGAGAAGCUUGCUUUUCUGAUGUUAGCGGCGGAAGGGUGAGUAACACGUGGAUAACCUACCUAUAAGACUGGGAUAACUUCGGGAAACCGGAGCUAAUACCGGAUAAUAUUUUGAACCGCAUGGUUCAAAAGUGAAAGACGGUCUUGCUGUCACUUAUAGAUGGAUCCGCGCUGCAUUAGCUAGUUGGUAAGGUAACGGCUUACCAAGGCAACGAUGCAUAGCCGACCUGAGAGGGUGAUCGGCCACACUGGACCUGAGACACGGUCCAGACUCCUACGGGAGGCAGCAGUAGGGAAUCUUCCGCAAUGGGCGAAAGCCUGACGGAGCAACGCCGCGUGAGUGAUGAAGGUCUUCGGAUCGUAAAACUCUGUUAUUAGGGAAGAACAUAUGUGUAAGUAACUGUGCACAUCUUGACGGUACCUAAUCAGAAAGCCACGGCUAACUACGUG